rnacentral:lncRNA from 1 species
GGCGGGGGCGGCGGAGUGCUCCCUCCAAGACCGGUUGCACCCCGCUUUCCUGGCCAGGACUCUGGCGCGCUAAGGAGGCGCGGCAGCUACAAAGACGACGCCGGCUGCGCUCGCGGGACCAGAGGGAGGGAGGCUGCGGACGAGUGCGGGGAGGAGUUUGAGAUGGGAGGCGCUUGCAGGGGCUCCCCCAGUUCUGCGCUGUGAGCCGGGGCACAAAGAGCCCUCUGCACUCGCGCCGCAGGACCGCGGACCCAAGUUGGAGGCAUCUGUCCACCCAUGUGGUUCCAGACACGUUCAUGUGGCCACCAAGACCCCGUCGGCAUCACAGGAGUAACCAAGGUCCACAGAGCCAGGGGAAAGGGUCACUGUGGAUCAAGCCAGGCUCCUCUGAGCAGUCCAGGGUCUAUUUACAGAGAGCAGCAAGUUCCUGGGACAGAGGAGAGAGAAGGGAAUUUCCAGGUUCUUCAGGACGUUCACAACCACACUGAGAAGCAUCUUUGCAGAUAAGUAUUUAAACUUACCAGCCCAUAGCCUACCAGCCUGCCCUCUUCUGGUCUGUGCAGGAAAGUGUAGUAUCCUAGAAUACCAAAGUGGGAGGGGAAACGGGUGAUGUAGCUCAUUCUCUUUUCUACCUCUAUGGAAGAAAGAAAGAGCCUGUCCCCAUUUUGUGGGGUCCCAGAAAGGGUGAUUUUUCACACUCCACAUUUGGCAUUAGGGCUAGUAUUUUAUAAACGUCACUGUAUGGAACUUUUGAAGGCUGAGUUAAAUGACUUCAUCUUGUGUACUUGUAGAACUGCUAUUAGAAGGAGGCUGGGGACUCCCUGAUGAUGUGAACCAGCCCUUCUCUUCUCAGUUUUAGCAUUUUGUGAUCAUAUUUAUAAACCUCGGCUAGGGCUCCUUGGCCUUA